rnacentral:snRNA from 1 species
GUGGGCUACAGUCCACGGGUGGCAAAGAGUCAGACUUCACUUUCACUUAUAGCACAUAUAUUAAAAUUGGAGCUAUAAAGAAAAGAUUAGCAUGGUCUUUGUAUGAGGAUGACACACAAAUUCAUGAAGUGUUCCAUAUUUUU